rnacentral:rRNA from 1 species
AGAGUUUGAUCNUGGCUCAGGACGAACGCUGGCGGCGUGCUUAACACAUGCAAGUCGAACGGAAAGGCCCUGCUUUUGUGGGGUGCUCGAGUGGCGAACGGGUGAGUAACACGUGAGUAACCUGCCCUUGACUUUGGGAUAACUUCAGGAAACUGGGGCUAAUACCGGAUAGGAGCUCCUGCUGCAUGGUGGGGGUUGGAAAGUUUCGGCGGUUGGGGAUGGACUCGCGGCUUAUCAGCUUGUUGGUGGGGUAGUGGCUUACCAAGGCUUUGACGGGUAGCCGGCCUGAGAGGGUGACCGGCCACAUUGGGACUGAGAUACGGCCCAGACUCCUACGGGAGGCAGCAGUGGGGAAUAUUGCACAAUGGGCGGAAGCCUGAUGCAGCAACGCCGCGUGCGGGAUGACGGCCUUCGGGUUGUAAACCGCUUUCGCCUGUGACGAAGCGUGAGUGACGGUAAUGGGUAAAGAAGCACCGGCUAACUACGUGCCAGCAGCCGCGGUGAUACGUAGGGUGCGAGCGUUGUCCGGAUUUAUUGGGCGUAAAGGGCUCGUAGGUGGUUGAUCGCGUCGGAAGUGUAAUCUUGGGGCUUAACCCUGAGCGUGCUUUCGAUACGGGUUGACUUGAGGAAGGUAGGGGAGAAUGGAAUUCCUGGUGGAGCGGUGGAAUGCGCAGAUAUCAGGAGGAACACCAGUGGCGAAGGCGGUUCUCUGGGCCUUUCCUGAC